rnacentral:rRNA from 1 species
CUGGCGGCGAGUGGCGAACGGGUGAGUAAUAUAUCGGAACGUACCCAGUAGCGGGGGAUAACGCAGCGAAAGCCGGAUUAAUACCGCAUACGACCUACGGGUGAAAGCGGGGGACCGAAAGGCCUCGCGCUAUUGGAGCGGCCGAUGGCUGAUUAGCUAGUUGGUGGGGUAAAAGCCUACCAAGGCUACGAUCAGUAGCUGGUCUGAGAGGACGACCAGCCACACUGGGACUGAGACACGGCCCAGACUCC